GAUGAACGCUGGCGGCGUGCCUAAUACAUGCAAGUCGAGCGAACAGACGAGGAGCUUGCUCCUCUGACGUUAGCGGCGGACGGGUGAGUAACACGUGGAUAACCUACCUAUAAGACUGGGGUAACUUCGGGAAACCGGAGCUAAUACCGGAUAACAUGUUGAACCGCAUGGUUCAACAGUGAAAGACGGUCUUGCUGUCACUUAUAGAUGGAUCCGCGCCGCAUUAGCUAGUUGGUAGGGUAACGGCUUACCAAGGCAACGAUGCGUAGCCGACCUGAGAGGGUGAUCGGCCACACUGGAACUGAGACACGGUCCAGACUCCUACGGGAGGCAGCAGUAGGGAAUCUUCCGCAAUGGGCGAAAGCCUGACGGAGCAACGCCGCGUGAGUGAAGAAGGUCUUCGGAUCGUAAAACUCUGUUAUUAGGGAAGAACAAAUGUGUAAGUAACUAUGCACGUCUUGACGGUACCUAAUCAGAAAGCCACGGCUAACUACGUG
rnacentral:rRNA from 1 species